CACGUAGGGACCAAGCGUUGUCCGGAUUCAUUGGGCGUAAAGAGCUCGUAGGCGGUUCGAUAAGUCGGGUGUGAAACCUCCAGGCUCAACCUGGAGACGCCACCCGAUACUGUCGUGACUAGAGUCCAGUAGGGGAGCGUGGAAUUCCUGGUGUAGCGGUGAAAUGCGCAGAUAUCAGGAGGAACACCAGCGGCGAAGGCGGCGCUCUGGGCUGGAACUGACGCUGAGGAGCGAAAGCGUGGGGAGCGAACAGGAUUAGAAACCCCCGUAGUCC
rnacentral:rRNA from 1 species